AAGGGUGGCGUAGGCGGGUAGGUAAGUCAGUGGUGAAAUCCUGGAGCUCAACUCCAGAACUGCCAUUGAUACUAUCUAUCUUGAAUAUUGUGGAGGUAAGCGGAAUAUGUCAUGUAGCGGUGAAAUGCUUAGAUAUGACCCGGAACACCAAUUGCGAAGGCAGCAGGCUAAACGAAUAUUGACGCUGAGGCUCGAAAGCGUGGGGAUCAAACAGGAUUAGAUACCCCAGU
rnacentral:rRNA from 1 species